GUAGUUAUAAGUAAGUGUUCUAUCGGCCAAUUUUGACCCAUAUUUUUUUAAUUAUGAAAAUUUAACCAAUAAUCCAUCAUCAAUAAACAAAGAGUACUCACUGGUACGCUGAAAACUUCGAAAUGUUCGAAUCAUACGAUGACUAAAGGAUGCCGCCGAUACAAAAGAUAGGAGAUGACUGAGGAUGAAGGAGUGGCCAUGGUCUAGAACUGGGAUUCACACAACUUUUCCCUUUCUUUUUUAAUCAAUCCCUCGCCCGAAAUGAAAUUCGAUAGCCUUGUAAAACUUGUCCGGUCUUUAUAAUCAAUAUGUAGGGUACACUUUUUUUUUUUUAAUUAAGCACGAUUUUUCUAGACUUAGAAAUAUAAUAAACCCAGGUUGGUUUA